AAACCAACCGGGAUUGCCUUAGUAACGGCGAGUGAAGCGGCAAAAGCUCAAAUUUGAAAUCUGGCGUCUUCGACGUCCGAGUUGUAAUUUGAAGAAGGCAACUUUGUAGCUGGUCCUUGUCUAUGUUCCUUGGAACAGGACGUCAUAGAGGGUGAGAAUCCCGUGUGGCGAGGAUCCCAGUUAUUUGUAAAGUGCUUUCGACGAGUCGAGUUGUUUGGGAAUGCAGCUCUAAGUGGGUGGUAAAUUCCAUCUAAAGCUAAAUAUUGGCGAGAGACCGAUAGCGAACAAGUACAGUGAUGGAAAGAUGAAAAGAACUUUGAAAAGAGAGUGAAAAAGUACGUGAAAUUGUUGAAAGGGAAGGGCAUUUGAUCAGACAUGGCGUUUGCUUCGGCUUUCGCUGGGCCAGCAUCAGUUUUAGCGGUUGGAUAAAUCCUCGGGAAUGUGGCUCUGCUUCGGUAGAGUGUUAUAGCCCGUGGGAAUACAGCCAGCUGGGACUGAGGAUUGCGACUUUUGUCAAGGAUGCUGGCGUAAUGGUUAAAUGCCGCCCNU
rnacentral:rRNA from 1 species